rnacentral:rRNA from 1 species
CCUACGGGGGCAGCAGUGAGGAAUCUUCCACAAUGGGCGAAAGCCUGAUGGAGCCACGCCGCGUGCAGGAUGAAGGCCUUCGGGUUGUAAACUGCUUUUAUGAGUGAAGAAUAUGACGGUAACUCAUGAAUAAGCACCGGCUAACUACGUGCCAGCAGCCGCGGUCAUACGUAGGGUGCAAGCAUUAUCCGGAGUGACUGGGCGUAAAGAGUUGCGUAGGUGGUUUAUUAAGUGAAUAGUGAAAGCUGGUGGCUCAACCAUACAGACUAUUAUUCAAACUGGUAGACUCGAGAGUAGUAGAGGUAACUGGAAUUUCUUGUGUAGGAGUGGAAUCCGUAGAUAUAAGAAGGAACACCAAUGGCGGAGGCAGGGUACUGGGCUAUCUCUGACACUGAGGCACGAAAGCGUGGGGAGCGAACC